GACGAACCGUGCGAACGUUAUUCGGAAUCACUGGGCUUAAAGCGCGUGUAGGCGGGCCAUCACGUCGGUCGCUGAAAGCCCCCGGCUCAACCGGGGAACGGGCGCCGAUACGAGUGGCCUGGAGGGGGGUAGGGGGACCUGGAACUUCCGGUGGAGCGGUGAAAUGCGUUGAGAUCGGAAGGAACGCCCGUGGCGAAAGCGAGGUCCUGGACCCCAUCUGACGCUGAGACGCGAAAGCCAGGGGAGCGAACGGG
rnacentral:rRNA from 2 species